rnacentral:rRNA from 1 species
GACGAACGCUGGCGGCGCGCCUAACACAUGCAAGUCGAACGGAGCUGAGAGAAGCUUGCUUUUCUUAGCUUAGUGGCGGACGGGUGAGUAACGCGAGAGUAACCUGCACUGGAGUGGGGGACAACAGUUGGAAACGACAGAUAAUACCGCAUAAGCCCACGAACCGGCAUCGGCUUGAGGGAAAAGGAUUUAGUCGCUUCAGGAUGGACUCGCGUCCAAUUAGCUAGUUGGUGCGGUAACGGCCCACCAAGGCGACGAUUGGUAGCCGGACUGAGAGGUUGAGCGGCCACAUUGGGACUGAGACACGGCCCAGACUCCUACGGGAGGCAGCAGUGGGGGAUAUUGCACAAUGGGGGAUACCCUGAUGCAGCGACGCCGCGUGGAGGAAGAAGGUUUUCGGAUUGUAAACUCCUGUCGUUAGUGACGAUAAUGACGUUACCUAACAAGAAAGCACCGGCUAACUACGUG